GAUGAACGCUGGCGGCGUGCCUAAUACAUGCAAGUCGAGCGAACGGACGAGAAGCUUGCUUCUCUGAUGUUAGCGGCGGACGGGUGAGUAACACGUGGAUAACCUACCUAUAAGACUGGGAUAACUUCGGGAAACCGGAGCUAAUACCGGAUAAUAUUUUGAACCGCAUGGUUCAAAAGUGAAAGACGGUCUUGCUGUCACUUAUAGAUGGAUCCGCGCUGCAUUAGCUAGUUGGUAAGGUAACGGCUUACCAAGGCAACGAUGCAUAGCCGACCUGAGAGGGUGAUCGGCCAAACUGGAACUGGGACACGGUCGAGACUCCUACGGGAGGCAGCAGUAGGGAAUCUUCCGCAAUGGGCGAAAGCCUGACGGAGCAACGCCGCGUGAGUGAUGAAGGUCUUCGGAUCGUAAAACUCUGUUAUUAGGGAAGAACAUAUGUGUAAGUAACUGUGCACAUCUUGACGGUACCUAAUCAGAAAGCCACGGCUAACUACGUG
rnacentral:rRNA from 1 species